rnacentral:rRNA from 1 species
ACGAACGCUGGCGGCGUGCCUAAUCCCUGCCAGUAGAACGCUGAAGAGAGGAGCUUGCUCUUCUUGGAUGAGUUGCGAACGGGUGAGUAACGCGUAGGUAACCUGCCUUGUAGCGGGGGAUAACUAUUGGAAACGAUAGCUAAUACCGCAUAACAAUGGAUGACACAUGUCAUUUAUUUGAAAGGGGCAAUUGCUCCACUACAAGAUGGACCUGCGUUGUAUUAGCUAGUAGGUGAGGUAACGGCUCACCUAGGCGACGAUACAUAGCCGACCUGAGAGGGGGAGCGGCCACACUGGGACUGGGACACGGCCCAGAACCCUACGGGAGGGAGCAGUAGGGAAUCUUCGGCAAUGGGGGCAACCCUGACCGAGCAACGCCGCGGGAGUGAAGAAGGGUGUCGGAUCGUGAAGCUCUGUUGUAAGUCAAGAACGAGUGUGAGAGUGGAAAGUUCACACUGUGACGGUAGCUUACCAGAAAGGGACGGCUAACUACGUG